AGGGCACCACCAGGAGUGGAGCCUGCGGCUUAAUUUGACUCAACACGGGAAAACUUACCCGGCCCGGACACUGGAAGGAUUGACAGAUUGAGAGCUCUUUCUUGAUUCAGUGGGUGGUGGUGCAUGGCCGUUCUUAGUUGGUGGAGCGAUUUGUCUGGUUAAUUCCGAUAACGAACGAGACUCUAGCCUACUAAAUAGACUGUUCAGCUUUAUAGCUGCAUCACCGGGCGCGUUGCUCGCAAGGGCGGCGCGUUCGGCUGUGGUGACGCUGACAGUGCUUCUUAGAGGGACAGGCGGCGGUUCAGCCGCACGAAACAGAGCAAUAACAGGUCUGUGAUGCCCUUAGAUGUCCGGGGCCGCACGCGCGCUACACUGAAGUGAUCAGCGUGCAUCAGUAACCCUCUCUGUCAAGAGUGGGUAACCCAAUGAACCUUCUUCGUGAUUGGGAUAGGGCAUUGUAAUUAUUGCCCUUGAACGAGGAAUCCCCAGUAAGCGCGAGUCAUAAGCUUGCGUUGAUUA
rnacentral:rRNA from 1 species